rnacentral:rRNA from 1 species
CCUACGGGAGGCAGCAGUGAGGAAUAUUGGUCAAUGGACGAGAGUCUGAACCAGCCAAGUAGCGUGAAGGAUGACUGCCCUAUGGGUUGUAAACUUCUUUUAUAUGGGAAUAAAACGUUCCACGUGUGGGAUUUUGUAUGUACCAUAUGAAUAAGGAUCGGCUAACUCCGUGCCAGCAGCCGCGGUAAUACGGAGGUUCCGAGCGUUAUCCGGAUUUAUUGGGUUUAAAGGGAGCGUAGGUGGAUUGUUAAGUCAGUUGUGAAAGUUUGCGGCUCAACCGUAAAAUUGCAGUUGAAACUGGCAGUCUUGAGUACAGUAGAGGUGAGCGGAAUUCGUGGUGUAGCGGUGAAAUGCUUAGAUAUCACGAAGAACUCCGAUGGCGAAGGCAGUUCACUGGACUGCAACUGACACUGAGGCUCGAAAGUGUGGGUAUCAAACAGGAUUAGAUACCCGGGUAGUC